GUGUAACCUCAUACCACUAGCCUGAGGCUGAAUUCAGUACCGUAACAAUAGCAAUCACAUCCUGACUGAAACAAACAGAAGGAUCCACGCUGCUUGAUUCAGUAUAAUAUCAAAUUGGCACCACAAGUUGGUUCAGGAUUUAGCUACCAGUAAACAUCACGUGGAUGGAGCCACAUGGGAGAUGGGGCACAAAUCUGACUACAUCACCUCGGGGAAACCUCACAACUAACAACACUGCUCGUGCCAUAAUAUAUUCAUUCCCACGCAAAUUCAUGCAAGCCUACAUACAAAUCGGCAAAAAUAAGGCAUGCAUCCAGGUGAACGAGGAAUAUUAGGAAACGGAAAAGAUUAACCUGCCAUGGCAAUCAUUUAAAACAGAACCGCGCCGCAAUACUUGCAUGUCUGGAAGAUUGACCACACUGAUACCAACAAGUAAAAGCAAUAUUAGAAAUCAUUCAAAACAUAACAAAAAUGACAUCGCUUCAUAUAGCUCAAGUAAGCUACCAAGACAAUGUUGUGGUCCUUCACAGAGAAAACGCAGAAGCUUUGCGACUUGAUGCAUUGAUAGAAGUACGCACAACCCUCUGAGUAAGCGCCCCCAUGAACAUGACUACAAAAAAAAAUGCACCCAUUGUGCUGUCAAAAAUGAAGAAAAAUCAUGAGGCCGGAACGAAAAGACGCAAAUCAGAACUCAAACUCGAAGCACUCACAUCCUUGUUGUUUGUGAACUGGAUAGGUCAAGGUUGGCCACAGCUUUACUGGUCAAGGCCCACUGCCUAACCGAACCCUAGCUCAGAGGAGUAAAAUGUGUGCUAGAGCGUCCUGGAAGGGUGAAACGGAGUAGGGGCAUUUGCUGCUAUAUCCUGUAAAAACAAGGGGUGACUACAAGCAUGGUGGCAAGUGGCAAUAGAAGGAGAUUGUGAGGGUUGGCAGAGCCAAGUCCUAGAUCAUUGAGUUCUCGUUGGUUUAAGUUUCAUGCAGCACAUGUGGGUGGAGAUUGUUAGGGAGGAGGGUGGAGCAAGGAAGGUUUUGAGAGUUCACGCUUAAUAAAUCUUGAUAUCGCUUGUACAUUUUUAAUGGAGUGGACCAUGACAUGGUUUCCAACAUUCCAUGUUUCCACUGAAUGUGGUUUCAAUGUGAUAAUCUUAAGAGGAAAAAAACAACAUCAUAGAACCUAUUUUUAAGUACUCAGAGGACCAUAAUAUCAGAGUGCAACAUUUGGCUACCGUACAACAUUUACAUCUACUAAGAGCAAUAAAAUAUGAUAUUGAGAUAAAGAAACAAUUCAUCUGAACGUAAUAAGCAAAUAAUUGUACCUGCCACUUUUCUCUGUCUUCUAUAAAGAGCUCCAUGGAGAGUAACCCCAACGCCUCGUGCUAUAUGCACUCUACCUAUUGUAGAUAGAGAAGAAUACACAUAGCAACCCCAGCACCUCGGUAAUCAAAUUUUAUCUGAACCAGAUAACAAGAAUCCUGCCAGCACAAAUGAUUUAGGAUACUCCUUUUGAAAUUGCAACAGCAUGCUAUCAUAGGAAAAUUAUUUAAAAUACCAAUACCUUCAAAGAAGAUAUAAAAGAUGAAAAAUAUAUUGAUUUCAGAACUUCAUGGUCAUCUGAGUCCUAUUAAGAGUCAUGUGUCUACUACACAAAUUACCGAAAAGACACGGACACCCGGC
rnacentral:lncRNA from 1 species